AUGAUGCAGGUCAGUUCGUUGGUUGAUGUCAUGUGCAACAUAGCAUGUGGUAUGUUGGACUCCUUGCUCCACAAUUCUGCCACAAUUUUCCUACUUGCUCCACAACACGCCACGUCUUCUGUUUUCAACAUGACAUGUAUUAUGUUUUCAAACUAUCAACUACACCUCUUCUCUUUAUCAAAACGUAAAGAUGCAUUUCAAAACAAAAACUUCUGCUGCCUUACUUGA